GCAGUCGCCGCGGGAAUACGUAGGGUGCAAGCGUUAAUCGGAUUUAUUGGGCGUAAAGCGAGCGCAGGCGGUUAGAUAAGUCUGAAGUUAAAGGCUGUGGCUUAACCAUAGUAUGCUUUGGAAACUGUUUAACUUGAGUGCAAGAGGGGAGAGUGGAAUUCCAUGUGUAGCGGUGAAAUGCGUAGAUAUAUGGAGGAACACCGGUGGCGAAAGCGGCUCUCUGGCUUGUAACUGACGCUGAGGCUCGAGAGCGUGGGGAGCAAACAGGAUUAGAUACCCGUGUAGUCCCUGUCUCUUAUACA
rnacentral:rRNA from 1 species